rnacentral:rRNA from 1 species
GAUCCUGGCUCAGGAUGAACGCUAGCUACAGGCUUAACACAUGCAAGUCGAGGGGAAACGACAUUGAAAGCUUGCUUUUGAUGGGCGUCGGACCGGCGCACGGGUGAGUAACGCGUAUCCAACCUGCCCACCACUUGGGGAUAACCUUGCGAAAGUAAGACUAAUACCCGAUGAUAUCCCUAGAAGACAUCUGAAAGGGAUUAAAGAUUUAUCGGUGAUGGAUGGGGAUGCGUCUGAUUAGCUUGUUGGCGGGGUAACGGCCCACCAAGGCUACGAUCAGUAGGGGGUUCUGAGAGGAAGGUCCCCCACAUUGGAACUGAGACACGGUCCAAACUCCUACGGGAGGCAGCAGUGAGGAAUAUUGGUCAAUGGGCGAGAGCCUGAACCAGCCAAGUAGCGUGCAGGAUGACGGCCCUAUGGGUUGUAAACUGCUUUUAUAAGGGAAUAAAGUGAGUCUCGUGAGACUUUUUGCAUGUACCUUAUGAAUAAGGACCGGCUAAUUCCGUG